GGGAAACUCACCAGGUCCAGAUGAAAUAAGGAUUGACAGAUUGAGAGCUCUUUCUUGAUUUUUCAGGUGGUGGUGCAUGGCCGUUCUUAGUUCGUGGAGUGAUUUGUCUGCUUAAUUGCGAUAACGAACGAGACCUUAACCUGCUAAAUAGCCAGGCUAGCUUUGGCUGGUCGCCGGCUUCUUAGAGGGACUAUCGGCUCAAGCCGAUGGAAGUUUGAGGCAAUAA
rnacentral:rRNA from 1 species